UACGAAGGGGGGCUAGCGUUGCUCGGAUUGACUGGGCGUAAAGGGCGCGUAGGCGGUUCGUACAGUCAGACGUGAAAUUCCUGGGCUCAACCUGGGGGGCUGCGUUUGAUACGUGCGGGCUUGAGUGCGGAAGAGGGUCGUGGAAUUCCCAGUGUAGAGGUGAAAUUCGUAGAUAUUGGGAAGAACACCGGUGGCGAAGGCGGCGACCUGGUCCGAUACUGACGCUGAGGCGCGAAAGCGUGGGGAGCAAACAGG
rnacentral:rRNA from 1 species